rnacentral:misc_RNA from 1 species
GUGUUGGUGAUGGGGAAAUCCCAACGCCACAUUGAAGUCUUCAUCUAGCCAUAUGGAACUCCUUCACCAAUUAUCAUCUCUUACUGAACAAGCUCUCUGCACUGUUUGAUCUAUCGUCUCCUCUCUGCAGUCCUCUAUACUUAUGAUCAGAGUUCUUUGAACCCCAUAAGAACAUCCAAUUGAAAACACUACAACUGUCCCAUCUGCACUGCACUACAGAGCUUUUGCAAACACACGACCCAUGCUCUUCGACUGUUCAAUAACAGAGCCUAAGAAGUUGGAUCGCCAAGGCAACGUAGUUCCAUUGUGAGAUUUUGGAUAUGUGCAAUGAAUAUGACUUGA